CAUGAAGCUGGAAUCGCUAGUAAUCGCAGGUCAGCAUACUGCGGUGAAUACGUUCCCGGGUCUUGUACACACCGCCCGUCACACCAUGGGAGCCGGAAAUGCCCGAAGCCAGUGACCCAACCUUAGGGAGGGAGCUGUCGAAGGUGGAGCCGGUAACUGGGGUGAAGUCGUAACAAGGUAGC
rnacentral:rRNA from 1 species